rnacentral:rRNA from 1 species
GACGAACGCUGGCGGCGUGCUUAACACAUGCAAGUCGAACGGUGACGAGGAGCUUGCUCCUCUGAUCAGUGGCGAACGGGUGAGUAACACGUGGGCAACCUGCCCCUGACUUCGGGAUAACGCUUCGAAAGAGGUGCUAAUACCGGAUAUGAGUCCCUCCGGCAUCUGAGGGACUGGAAAGUUUUUCGGUCAGGGAUGGGCCCGCGGCCUAUCAGCUUGUUGGUGAGGUAACGGCUCACCAAGGCGACGACGGGUAGCCGGCCUGAGAGGGCGACCGGCCACACUGGGACUGAGACACGGCCCAGACUCCUACGGGAGGCAGCAGUGGGGAAUAUUGCGCAAUGGGCGAAAGCCUGACGCAGCAACGCCGCGUGAGGGAUGACGGCC